GGGGGUAUAGCACAGUGGUAGAGCACCCGCAUACGUAUCGGCAGGUCGGGGGUUCGACUCCCUCUGCCUCCA
rfam:Pristionchus pacificus strain PS312 contig11511, whole genome shotgun sequence.